rnacentral:lncRNA from 1 species
GUCCUGCUUUGGAGAAUGGUGGUGGCUACGGGUUACGGGUACGGUCUUGUUCACUGCUGUGGCUUGGGUCGCCGCUGUAACGCAUGUUCGAUCCCUGGCUUGGGAAAUUCCACCUGCUGUAGGUCUGCCAAAAAAAGAAAUUAAAAACAAAAAUAAACAAAACCUUCAGGGAGUUCCUCUUGGGGCUCAGCAGGUUAAGAACAUAACUAGCAUCCAUGAAGCGGCAGUUCGAUCCCUGGCCUUGCUCAGUGGGUUAAGGAGCCAGCAUUGCGGCAAGCUGGGGGCUUGUAGGUUGCAGAUGCAGCUGGGAUCCCAUGAUGCAGUGGCUAGGCUGGUAGCUGCAGCUCCGUUUCAACGCCUAGCCUGGGAACUUGUGAGGCAGAAUAAUAAUUCCAAUAGUUAGUGUAGGAACACGGGCUUCCAUAUAUUCCCUGAUUAAUGUCCACGGUUUUAAAUUUGUAAAAACAAAUCAAGAUAAACAGCCCUUGCUUGUUGGAAGAUUAACUACUGAAAGUACAUCUGUGGACAUUAACCUCUGAUCUACACAUUUGGCUGCUAGAAAAGGAAUGUAAAGAAUGGCAACUCUAAGUCUAAGGGAAAGAAGAACAAAAGGACCAUAAAGCCUAUGGAGUAUAUCCUGACUCUAAGCCCCUAUUGGACAAGGCCCAGUAUAGGUGCUGGGCAAGGCCAACAGGGAGCAGGACUGAUAGCAGGACCCCAUGUUGGUACCCCUGUCUUUAAGAGAUAACACCUCCUUAGAAAGUUAGUGUGUGGGAAAUCUUCCUCUCCCUCGCAGUGUCUGUGCUGGGAGCUAUCUGCCUUUCUCUAAUAAAGACUUUUGCUUUCUUGCUGCCUGUGUGUUCACAAAGUUCAUUCUUCAGCUCCGUGAACAAGAACUGGGAUUCCGGUAACAUCUUUCCGGGGCCUGUCCAAGAUCUGAUACACCAGCACUCAUAAGCUUGCCACAGGGAAUUCAGAGUGACAACGGAUCGGCCUUUAAGGCAGCCGGAACCCAGGGAGUGUCCCAAGCUUUAGGAAUAAAAUAUCAUUUGCACUGUGCUUGGAGACCACACGUAUCAGGAAAAGUGGAAAAAACAUGACUUGAUGAAACGUCGCCUACAAAAACUAUCACAGGAAACUCAUCUUCCCUGGUAAUCCCUCCUUUCCUUGGCCUUAAUACAGAUUAGGGAAACUCCUAGGAGUCAGGGGCUUAGUCCAUUUGAAAUAUUAUAUGGACGGCCCUCUCUUAGAAAUGAUCUCCUGCUUGAUCAGCAGACGGCUGAACUUACGAAGUAUAUGAGCAAUCUAGCCGUUGUUCAACAACAGCUUUCGAACUUGAAAAACAGUCUAGAUCAGAGGAAAGAAAGUGAGAAACCUCUUUAUCACUCAGGGGAUAUAGUAUUAGUAAGUCCCUCCCCAACAAUUCUCCUUCACUGGAGCCUAUCUGGGAAGGACCCUGCACUGUCAACCUUUCCUCCUCUACCGCUGUUGAGGUUGCAGCACAAUCUUGGAUUGGAUUCACCACACAGGAACCAAAGCCUGGAACCUGGAGAAAGAAGAUGCCCCACCCUCAACUACCGAGGAAAACUCCCCUGAAUACCAAUGCAACCCUCUGGAGGAAAUCAAGGAACCCUUCCAACAAACAAGGGAACAAUCAGAAUGAAACGAGUGGUCAGUGUAAUUGCUUUUCUCUCCUUUGCCAUGGGGGAUUCUUCCACUUCCUUACAGUGGGUACAGGGAAAUGUUUUGUCUCCUGGGCUCACUCCUAUGCCUACUUCCAGAAUCAAUCAGACUGCUGUGUCUGCAGAGCAUUACCUAUGUCGUUUGUAGAAGGAUUCCACAUAGGGAAACAACUGCUUGCAAGUAUGUGAAUUCCUGCAUCAGAAUGGGACUGAUUCCCCACAAGAUCUCUGGACAGCAAAUAAGUUGUCCUGUCCAACUCCAGCUUUUGGCACUACCCUCCAGAACUGGUUAACAUCCUCUUCCUGGUGGAAAUGUUUGUUUACAACAAUCGCAAUCAUCAUGUGGUCUUUUUUUUUUUUUUCUUUCUUUCUCUUUUUAGGGCUGCACCUGAGGCAUAUGGAAGUUCCCAGGCUAGGGGAUGAAUCAGAGCUAUAGCUGCUGGCCUACACCACAGCCACAGCAAUGGCAGAUCUGAGAUGCAUCUUUGACCUACACCACAGCUCAUGGUAACGCUGGAUCCUUAACCCACUGAAUGAGAGCAGGGAUCAAACCUGAAUCCUCAUGGAUCUAGUUGGGUUUGUUAACCACUGAGCCAUGAAGGGAGCUCCUCAUCAUUGUGAUCUUGAUUCUCUUAUUUGGACCCAGUAUAAUUAAUUGUAUUUCCUGCUUCAUCGAAUCCUGAUUAGAAGCUAUUAGAUUUCAGAUGGUAAUAGAAGGGGAACCCAGUGCGAUAUAUCAAAGCCCGCUUGACCGUCCCAUGAGUGGAGACCUAACUCCUUUCCCCUAACAAAGCCCCUUGUCAGCAGGAAGCAGUCAGAGCGGUCUUUACCCCUCACCCUGCAGUUAGAGUCUCCAACUUUAGAGGGGGGAUUGAGGCGGAAUAAUUCUGGUAGUUAGUGUAGGAACACGGGCUUCCAUAUAUUCCCUGAUUAAUGUCCACGGUUUUAAAUUUGUAAAAACAAAUCAAGAUAAACAGCCCUUGCUUGUUGGAAGAUUAACUACUGAAAGUACAUCUGUGGACAUUAACCUCUGAUCUACACAUUUGGCUGCUAGAAAAGGAAUGUAAAGAAUGGCAACUCUAAGUCUAAGGGAAAGAAGAACAAAAGGACCAUAAAGCCUAUGGAGUAUAUCCUGACUCUAAGCCCCUAUUGGACAAGGCCCAGUAUAGGUGCUGGGCAAGGCCAACAGGGAGCAGGACUGAUAGCAGGACCCCAUGUUGGUACCCCUGUCUUUAAGAGAUAACACCUCCUUAGAAAGUUAGUGUGUGGGAAAUCUUCCUCUCCCUCGCAGUGUCUGUGCUGGGAGCUAUCUGCCUUUCUCUAAUAAAGACUUUUGCUUU